rnacentral:tRNA from 1 species
GAUCCAAUAGCUCAGUUGGUUUAGAGCGUGGUGCUUAUAACGCCAAGGUCACGGGUUCGAGCCCCGUUUGGAUCA